rnacentral:rRNA from 1 species
ACGGGUGAGUAACACGUGAGCAAUCUGCCCUUCUCAUCGGAAUAACCAUUGGAAACGAUGGCUAAUGCCGAAUAUGACCUCGGAUCACAUGUUCUGAGGUGGAAAGCUCCGGCGGAGAAGGAUGAGCUCGCGGCCUAUCAGCUUGUUGGUGAGGUAAUGGCUCACCAAGGCGAUGACGGGUAGCCGGCCUGAGAGGGUGACCGGCCACACUGGGACUGAGACACGGCCCAGACUCCUACGGGAGGCAGCAGUGGGGAAUAUUGGACAAUGGGCGAAAGCCUGAUCCAGCAACGCCGCGUGAGGGAUGACGGCCUUCGGGUUGUAAACCUCUUUCAGCAGGGACGAAGCGAAAGUGACGGUACCUGCAGAAGAAGGACCGGCCAACUACGUGCCAGCAGCCGCGGUAAUACGUAGGGUCCGAGCGUUGUCCGGAAUUAUUGGGCGUAAAGGGCUCGUAGGCGGUUUGUCACGUCGGGCGUGAAAACUCAGGGCUCAACCCUGAGCGUGCGUUCGAUACGGGCAGACUAGAGGUAUGCAGGGGAGAACGGAAUUCCUGGUGUAGCGGUGGAAUGCGCAGA